rnacentral:rRNA from 1 species
UACGGAGGGGGCUAGCGUUGCUCGGAAUUACUGGGCGUAAAGGGCGCGUAGGCGGACAGUUAAGUCAGAGGUGAAAGCCCAGGGCUCAACCUUGGAACUGCCUUUGAUACUGGCUGUCUUGAGUUCGGGAGAGGUGAGUGGAAUGCCGAGUGUAGAGGUGAAAUUCGUAGAUAUUCGGCGGAACACCAGUGGCGAAGGCGACUCACUGGCCCGAUACUGACGCUGAGGCGCGAAAGCGUGGGGAGCAAACAGG